UCCGGAAUAGCUCAGCGGUAGAGCAGCGGACUGUUAAUCCGUUGGUCGUAGGUUCGAAUCCUUCUUCCGGAG
rnacentral:tRNA from 1 species